rnacentral:lncRNA from 1 species
AAAACAAGUUGAGUUGAAAACAGAGUCCUAUGGAAAGAAGGAGUUUCACUUCUGAGCAUAUCCUGAAGAGUCCUAUGUGUAGAAGGAGAAAGAUUCUACAGAUUGAAGACGUCUACGCAAGAUAGAAAACAUAUAAAUUGAAGAACUUUUUGUUAGAUCAAUGAAAUUUUUGAUGACUGACACAUGAAUGACCAUGUUACUUGAACUGGUCCAAGCAUAAGAAGACAAGUUUCAGGUUUUAUUGAUAGAUGCAGACAAAGAUUGCUGAAAGUUAGGAACGAAUGAGCAAGCCUAAUUCUGAUAUACUCAAGCUACUGAUCACGUGAGAAAUUGAAGAAGUUGUGGUUGAGUAAAAUACUUGAAGAUAAGUUGAUUUAAGGAGUUGAAGUUUGACUACAACACUAAGGAGACAAGAGUUGGAAUUGAAGAAGGAGCCUCACUUGAAGUAAAACUCUAUGUAAUGAGAGUUCUGAUUAAAGGAGGAGUUUGAAAUAAAGAAUAACUCUUUGGAGAGCUGUGUUCAAAUAAAGAUACAUCAUUCAGAGUAAAACACGCACAUACAAAGCAGAAAAGCACAAUCGAUAGAUUAACUUCACGAAGUGCUACUCAAUCACUGAAGAAAUACAUUGA